GUCUCAUUGAUGUCUUCUAUUCUUUUCUCAAGCCCAGUGAGUAUUCUUAUGAUUAUUGCUUUAAGUUCUCCAUCAGGCAUGUUAUUUAUAUUUGUUUUGCUUAGGUCUCUGACCAUGGCCUUAUCUUGUUCUUUCAUUUGGGAUAAAUUGCUCCAUCUUGACAUUUUGUCUAAGUCUCUACCUUCUACUGUGUGUUAGAAAAGCCAGUUAUCUCUCCUGCUCCGGAAAGUAAUGGCCUUAUGAAGAAGAGGUCAAGUAGUUCCCAGGGCUUGGUGCUUCAGGGAGUAUCUCUGGUGUGUGCUACAUGCGCUCUGCUAUUGUGUUUUGGCUCCUCUCUCCUUCAGGCCAGUUGUCUGCAGAGGCUCUCUUUGCCUGCUGAGGGCAGUGUUUGGUCCCUGACCUGAAUGUGGUGAGUUUUAAUUAGGUGUGCUGUGGUCUGCUUGUGAAAUGAGACCUGAUAGCAACUCCACCAGAACUGAGGCCCUGCAGAACUCUCUGGUUGGGAUAUGUGGUGUAGGCAGAGGUUUGUGCUGGUCUCAUGGGGGAGAAGCCUGCGGCACUCGGACUGAAGCCAGCUUGUCUGAGGAGGGCAGUCCUAGCAGAGUACAGGGGGCUUGGGCAUGGUGUAAGCAAGUUAGGCAGCCAGGAUUGGUGCUGUACUGCUUCUUGCAGGUGGGUCUGUGUUUACACUGAAGGGCCAGAAAGAGAAAUGGUGCCAUCUAUUUCCUUUGUUCCCAGAAAGUCACCUUCACAAACAUUGCUUCUUAGGGACAUACUUGGAGAAGAGUGAAUAUUCUCCUCCUGUGUACCCAGGCCUUCUUCAGAUCUGCCCUUUCCAUGCUGUCUGCCCCUGGGUUUUUUGCCUGGCCUCUCUCUAGCAGUGCAGUGCCUUCUGGGCUGUAUGCCAACCAAGCCUCCUGACCUUUAAAACUCCAGGCUGUAAGCCUCACUGAUUGCAAGAACUCAUGAAAUUCAGUCUGUCUCGUUUUCUAAGCCAGUGGCUUUGAGGAAAUAUUUUCCCUGUGCAUUUCCCUGUGUCCUUCUCUCUCUCUCUCUUUCUCUCUCUCGUGCCCUUCUUCAUGAUCAUGGCUCCCUCCCCUCCACAGCACCUGCAAUCCAUUUUUCCCCUAAACCAUGUAUCCACACUCCCUCCCUUCUUUGAUGUGGCCUCUUCUCUCCUGUUAGUUGUGGAGCUUGUUCUGUCAGUCUGCAGGUCAAUUUCCGGGGUCUUUAGGAUGAUGUGAAAGUUACCUUGUGUUCUUGGGGUGAGAUGAGCCUGUCUGCCUACUCUACCAUCAUCCUUCCUCCCCUCACUGUUUGACCUUUGCGAGCUUCAGAUUUGUCUCACAUAAAAUGGGUUCAUUGUGAGGAUCACAUAAGCACAUGUGAAAGUGCUUAGAAUAGAGCUGGUGGGUGUCCCAUAGUAUUCAUCCCCCUGCCUCUUUCUUGCCAUGUAAGUGCUUUCCUCAGAGGAGCUGAUAAAGUUUGGUGUGUUGAUCCUGAGAGCUUUCUGACAGAUGGACGUCACAAACCAUCUUUGGGUGUUAGUUUCUUGACUGCAAAAAAAAAGGGGGGGGGGAUUGCGCUGCACUGUUGGACAGUAACUGAAGGCCUUUUAUUUUUUUACUCUAAAAUGUUAUGGUUUUAAGGAAUUGAAGGAAUUUUAAGGAAUUGAGAAGGUAAGGAAGGGGAUUCUCAAUAAAGAUACAGUAUUACUAAAAUAUUAUAAAAUAUGAGAAAACAAGCACCGAUGGGGCUAAUUUUACUUCCAUGGAGAGUUUCCUAGAAUUAGAUCACAAGAGUCAGGUAGACCAUAAGAGUCCUUCACAAGGGGGAAGAAGGAAGUUGGGGGUGAUUUCAUUGGUUGCAAAGGAAAGCUAGAGGUAGAGAACUGUUAUUGAUUUUUUUAAACCAGUGAGAUGUCAUUUUUGUGAAAGAUUAUUCUGAUAAGUAUAUAUAGGAUGGACACUCGCAGAAAGAGGCAGAAGGCAGAAAUUUAGAGAGAAGCAUAAAGAUAGGUGAGCCUAGUGAUUAUCGUGGAAAUGGAAAAAUUCCUGGAGAGGAAUGCACAGGAGAAAAUUACCACGGGGGUGAAGGAGAAGGGAGGUCUAAACUGCAAGGCAAGUGUGAUGAACCAGGCUGUUUAGCUGCAGCUUUUUUUUCCUUUCCUAAGAAAGACACCUGGCUGAAUAAACAUUGAUAUAGAGAGAGCUGAGUGGACAGCCGGAGGCACCAGCCUUCUCACUUAUUUUCCUAUGAUUUAAAAUAGACAGACUAUUUUAGGCAUAGCAGACUGACUCUGUCUAGAAAUGCAGAUGAAGAUUUGUUUCCUUUCCUAAAUUGAAGAUAUGGUUGGAAAUUUCCCAGGUUAAUGUUAUGAACCAGGUGUGGUGGUAGGAGGUCAGUGGAAAGCCAUGGGUAGGUCACGUCUAUGGAUUUGGUCAUCUUUGCUUCCUGUUUUUCAGGACCUCUGGCUUCUGAUCCAAAUUUUAUGAUACCAGACUAGGAAUCUCCUAAUAUAUGCAAACUUUUAGUCAAGAUAUCUAAAUAGUGAUUCAUGCUUUUACUUAUCUAUUAAAUGUUUGCAGAUGUCCUAGGUAAUGGGCUAAGAGUUGGGAAUACAAUGGUGCAUGGGAUGCCAACCCUCCCUUCUAGAAACUCCUGGUCUGAGGGCUGACAGGCGUGUUCAUGCACAUGUUCAUAAGACACCGUGAAAAGCGCUCUCAUACAGCUAUAUUCCAAAUCUGACCGGGACUCAGGAAGAGUUACUGAAGAUAAGAACUAUGUAUUUUGAAGGCCAUCUAUCUAUCUGGGCGCCACAAAGUCAAUAAACGGGAAAGUAAAGGAACAUGGCAAAGGAUAGGAAACAAAUAGUGCUUACGCAUAUACUUAAAUGCCCGACACUACCUGGGUAAAUGUUUGGAAAUUAUGUCAUUUCAUCCUCACAAGCACCGUGGGUCCCAAGUUAUAUUAUAUUCACUUUACAGAUGAAAACACUGCGACUUGAGAAAAACUGGUUUCCACAAAGCUCCAUAGCUAGUUGGAGGCAGAAGCAGGAUCUCAAUAUAUGUCCACAGCAUUUCCACCACAUUGUGUGGUUACAACUAAAUGAGACAAAUAAAGGCUCAGGUGAAAGAGGAAGUGGGAACACUUGGUUUUGCUGCCUCUGUGAAAAUGUGGAUAUGACUCAGAGAUUUCAGACACUGGGACCUGGUGGUUUGGGUUGUCAAGGUCUGUAAAUGUUUCAGUUACUGAAUUCAGGAUGCUAACUCAACAACAGAAGCUUGCUGUCAGUCAGAAACCAGGAUAAGCUUUGUUUUGAGUUCGUAUAGAGACAAGUAUCUGGAACAAUGAGACCUCUCUGGGUGAUUUUCACAGAAAAGCAAGUAGUAUUGAAUCUCACUUAUUUGGAAGUUAUGCUACAAUCUCACACAUCUAGCUCUCAUCAAGGAAUCAGCAAAUAAGUGAAACUCUGUGAAUACUCAAAUAGAUGUCAUAAACAACAAACACAUCUCAUGUAUUGUACUUUUUAUUCAAUUCAAAAUGUUCAAGCCCUCUAUCUAUUCAUUAUAGCGUAUCUGGUUUCCAAAUCUACUUUGAGGGUAAAAGUAAUGUCUGACAAGAAAGCAUUAGACAAAAAUAGAAGAAGCAGCUUCAAGAAUGCAAAGAUCUCAGCAUCAGUUCAGAUAAUGGUCAAAGACCCCUGUAUAGAUCCUGGAAAUGAUAAGGAAAUUACCCUUGUAAUAUGCCCAUGUAAGAAAGCAGAUGUUCUCAGUGUUGACCCUGAGUCAUUAGUAUAAGAUUAAGCUAAUUUCAGGCUACUUUUCCAAGUAUGUAGGGGGUAUACAGCGCCCCUAUAAUACAUUCAGUUGUCUAAGAUAACUAACAUGAAAAAGGUGUUGCUGGAAAGGAUAAGAAGUCAGCCGUCUGAAAAACUGAUCAGUUACACAAAGUGAUGUAUACUCAGAGGAUUUUAGAUAAUCGGGUGCCUUAUUCAUUUAUAAACUCCAAUUUCCAACUACAUCUUUCACUGGAAUAGGGCAGGUGGCCCAUGGAUAAUAUCCUUCUGAUGGCCCAGAGGAGAGAGGAAGAAACUCCACUGUCCCCCAGAUCCACCAUACCUCCUUACUCUGGGUUCCUGAUGGAGUUGCAGUGUGGUGGGGAGGGGGAAUUUCCCUAAUUGGUCCAUAAUCCCUUAAUGAUCUUAGAUCCAUGGACAUGGGAAGUGGGGGCAAAGGCCUUUGCCCAUGGCCUUUUGGGGGUGGUCUUACCACAUGUAUACCCUUCCCCUCAACAAACCCACACAGACACGCAUACUUCUUUGUACCUCAUUGUGAAUGUCACAACAGUAACUAAAAAUAAUUCUGAAGUGUGUGUUAAGUAAUCCUACUGACAGCCUUUUGUUUUACUUCCUUAUUCUUGCCCUAUUCCAAUUGUGCUAAAAGUGCCAAGGUGUCUGGUAAAAAUUCAAAAGAGGGUUGACAUGCAAGGGAGGAAAAAAAUGAAAGGAAGGGCCUCAGGUAAUUUGCAAAAUAGAUAAUGAGUCUUUACAUGAUUGAGUCAAAGGUACUGCUUCUUAGUAGAGGUUUUAAAUGUUAAAUCAAUUGUUUUUUUUUCUCUCUUAGCAACUGAAAUGCUGACCCAAAGUUUCACAGAGCUGUUAUAUGUUUUUUCAGAAGUUGCAAGUGCAGACCUAAAAAAAGGGGGGCUGACUCUGACCUUAUCUUGUCAAGGGAAUAGGAAGACCCAGGCAACUUCUAUUAUUCCCUUUUACUGAAAAAACGAUGUCGCUGUUUUCCAAUCAAGGGAAACCAGCAUUACCUAAUUAUGGCACAGAUCUCAGUGAGGUAUCUGCACACAUUCUGUAAAGAUGCUACCUAAAUACAGUUUGUGUUUGUCAGUUUUAAAUUCUUUUAUACCCUGGACACCCUUGGUCAUCUUAGGAAGCCUAUGGACCCCUUCUCAGAGUACUGUAUUUAAAUGUAUGAAGCAAAAUACAAAGAGUUACAAGGAAACCAAAUAUAUAAAAAUAUGAUUACAAAAAAAAUUGUGAUAUAGUAAUAAUAUGUGUGUCUUUACCAAUGCAUUAAUUAACGUGAUCUAACAGCACGUCUAGUGACAUUUGAAGGUGAUGAUGAGUGUAAGUGAUAUUUUCAGAGAGCUGCAACAACCCACAUGGGCGAUGGGGACACCUGGGAUUUCUACCGGAAACAAAUUCACAGGUACUGCUAAUACUUCCGUGGUUUGUUGCCAAUAUUUAUAUUUGAAGGAAAUGUUCAAUUUCACUGAGGGAUCAGUGAAAAUGAAGAUCAGUUUCCCCAUCUAAGCGUAUAGACUCCCUGAAUUCUGUCCACGGAUCCUCUGGAGGGUCUACAAGCCCUAAGAUAAAAACCCCUGGACCACGUCAAUCCUUUUCAUAGGUUUAUGAGCAUGGCUGAGAUAAAUUGAAUUUCUUCAAGUAAAUAUUUUUAUAUAAUUCCAAAUGCAGUACUGAACGUUUGGUUUUUUUACUUCUCAAAUGGAAAUGCCUUCAUUCAUUUAUUCAAUCCUAUUCUUCCUUACAAUCUGCCUUGUUUGUUAAAGGAUUUGAGGCAACUUCCAUAAAUGCAUACAGCAAAAUAGAAUACGAUUACCAGUAAGUGGAUGAGAGAGAAGGAACAGAAGAAAAGUUUGUGUGAAAAGUUAAGAGGUGUCUCCCAGGGAAGUUAAGGUGGGAAAGUGUAUGUGGGAAGGCUCUAGAUCUUUGUACUAGAGUACAAUGACAUAUUGAUUCUAAGUUCCAUGAUAAGCAAUUCAAAGGGUAAGAGACAAUUAGUUAUAGACUCAUGAUCACAUCUCCUGUAAAAUAAAAUGAGAUGCCCCACUUUCUGGCUACUGAAACUAAAGAGAAAUUUCUUCCAUAGACCUUGUCUCAUAAUGACUGUCAUAGUCAGCUUGAGUGGCUAUAGCGAAAAACCAUAGACUAAAUCGCCUAAACAACAGACAUUUAUUUCUCACAGUUCUGGAGGUGGGACGUCCUAGAUCAGGGUGCCCAGAUGGUCAGGUUCUGGUGACACCUCUCUAUCCAGCUUGCAGAUGGCCAUCUUGCUGCUUUGUCUUCCUAGGGAGGAGAGAGUGUGCUCUCUUGUCUCUUCUUCUCUAGGAGGACUAAGCCCAUUAUGAGGUCUACACGCUUGUGACCCAUUUACCUCUGAAAGGCCCAUCUCAAAACAUCUUCAUACUGGGGGCUGAGAGCUUUAAACUAUGAAUUUUGAGGGGAACUCAAUUCAGUCCAUAGCGAUGAUACAGUGUGUAAUGAAAUUAAUAGUACUUUUAAAAGCUUCCUUUAUUUCUUUGGGCUGUCUCUUAUCAUUUCUCAGUGUAAAUCAAUGACAUAUGUUUCUGCUGGCCCAGCUUAAUAUAGAAAUGGAUUGAAAAAUAUCUAGUGUAGGGGUGCCUGAGUGGCCCAGUUGGUUGAGCAUCCAGCUCUUGAUUUCUGUUCAAGUCACGAUCCCAGAGUUGUGGGAUCGAGCCUGUCAUUGGGCUCCUUGCUGGGCAUGGGGCCUGCUUGAGAUUCUCUCUCUCUUUGUCUCUCUCUCUCUCUCCCUCUGCCCCUCUCCCCACUCACUCACAUGCUCUCUCUCUCUCUAAAACAAAAAAAAUUUUUUUAACUCUAGUGUAGUUUUUAAUACCAUUUUGGAGGUAUAAAGUAUCAUUAUGACUUUUUUUGGUAGCACCCCCUUGGAGGUACUUAUUCUUGAAAUGCAGAUUAUUCAUUUUUACAUGUCACAGACCAAUUUGAGAGUCUGAGGAGAGCUACAAAUACAGACACACAUUAAAUUCUGCCUACCAUUUUAAGGAAUCACAGACCUCUUAAAGCCUCAGCACUUUGAGUAGUAAAUAACUCUGGGAUAUAGAGUAAUGGAUAUGCCUUUAGGCAUAUUAUAUAAGUGCUGCUUAUUGUAACUGAGUGUUUGACAUGGGUUGAGAACCAGCCAGUUGGGUUUAAGGCUCUUGGCAAGCAGGGGAAUGCAGCUCUUCUAUGCGCAGAUUAACCAAAUGCUUCCCCAGCUUGGAGAACAAGAAACCUGCAGGCACGUUUAACAACACAACAUACAAUGCUAAUAUUUCAAGGUUGGAGGGAUGCCUGGAUCAGAGACAGCCUCAAAUCUUGUGCCUGAAAUUCUCAUGCUCCUUGGAGGACAUCACAAAUCUCUGAUGACCACGAUGGCAUCUAUAUACCCUCUAAGGAGAUGACCACCCAAAUGUGGGUACAGCUUCCAGGCCCCUCCCCAACCUCCUCCACCACCACCUCGUCAUUUGCCAGAGUCCAUCUGAGACCAAGCUCUCCUGUGAGGAAUUGGAUUGCCGGGGUGGAUCUAGACUGUGUGGGGCCUGAAUCUUAUACAACUUGGAGAGUCUUCUGUGGGAGAAAUAAUACAAAAUUACAAAGAGAGAGUUGUGAGAAACUUAAUAUUUAAGAGACAGACAGAAAUGAGAAUAAAUUUCAGAUUUUAAAAAGCUGACAAAAUACCAAAAGCGACACAUUAUUCAGAAAAAUAAGAUAAUUUUAAAAUUACCUAUCUGACAUAUCUUAAAACACAUUCUCCUACAUUUUUGGCUGUGGGAUAUUUGGCUGCUUCUUCAUAUAAUGAUUUUGUAAAGACAUUUUGUCUAGAGAACAUAGAAAAUAGAACGUAGAACAUAGAAAAUCCAGUCUGUCAUCUAGCAUGAGUUGAUCAGAAUUGUUCUGUUUUGUUUUUGUUUUUUUGUUUUUGAUUGAUUGUUUAGAAAACCUCUGGCUUCCCAGUUGAUUACUGGGAAUGUAAGUUUUAGGAUUUCUGUCUUAUGUUUCUUUCAGCUAUGAGCUUUACAAUUUGGAAGAAUUCUCAUAAACUUGUUUCUGGUUCUGUGCAUUAGAAGCCUUAUUUGUCUCCACCUUCCAUAGACACAGGGAGACAAGGGACUAGUUUAUACUGUAAUAUGACCUCUGGCCCUGAGCCAGCAUGUCACCAUACCAGGGGAAUUGGCCAGUGGGAAGUAGAGUGUUCCUGGAAGUUAUCACCAUACUUGAACUACUAGUAAUAACUAUACAUGGAAGAGAGUAUGAGCAACAUAAGUAUAUCCCAUUAACUACAAAACGAGUAUGUCCAUCUCUAGAAAUGCCUGCUCUCAGCACUGGUAGGCCACAGCUCACCCUCAUGAGAGUUUUUUCACUUUCCUCUCUCUCAGCCCACUCAAAAGACUGCCUCCAUGAGGCUGCAGCCGUCUUUAUAGCACCUCCAUAGAGUCCUCUAGUAAGAUUCCUUAGGGUAUAGGCUCACGAGAGCAAGGCCAAGACAGAAAAGAAGAGGGACAUUUUCUUACCGUGUCUCAGAGUCCAAAUCUUUCCAAGUUUUUUGACACUGGGAAUGUAUACUCUCUUCUGGAAAGACUCCAUUCCCAAUUGCAGAAUAAUCUUACCGUAGGUUCCAAUAAGACAAAUACCUUAGAACAUACCAGUCUAAGAGCAGCAUGAGAAAAGGCUACUUGGAACAGUUUGGGAUUUAUUUCCAUUCAUAGAUACGAGGGUAUUUAAGGCCACAGACACAUGCAUCACAAUAUGACUACAGUGAUUUUUAUGACGGAAAAUUUAAGCCUGAUAGGACCGUACGCUCAUUUCAACUAUAAAACGCAGUAUAGCACACAUGGAAUAUUUUAACUGAUUAAUAUAACUUUCUGGCAAAUGCCCCAAGGUAACUGGCUGUAAAAUAUAUGCUUUGGAAAGUGGCUGAGUUAACUUAUUUUAUAGUUUUACUGAUUACAAGCCAGUUAAAUGUGGAGUUAAGUGUAACAAAGAAAUUUACUUUGGGUUUAGAAUAGUUGGUCUGUAGCUCUUCUUUUCAGGGUUCAAGUACCAAGGUAACUUCUCCAAAGCCAGCUAGGGUUUAACACUCCUGGCUGGCAACCAUAAAAGCUAUUGUUUUUGAAUAUAAUAAUUAUAAUUGUAUUACCUAUGGAAGGGGAGUGUCUGUUGAUUUCAUCAAAAAGCAGAAUAAAUUGCUAAGGUACAUGAAAUGUCUGCUUCUUCAAAGCCCACGGGAAGUACAGUGUUUAUUUGUUUGAAUAUAUUUUGGAUGGGAUGUAUCUACUUUGCUUGCUUGUUAAAGAAAAAAAAUCCAUUUCUCUCAAUGCCUACAUUCAAAUAAAUUGAAAACAAAAAUGUUCAGAGAUUCAGAAUAAGUGAGAAUCCUCUUAGUAUAAUGAUUUAACCUAAAAUUUCCUCUUUUUUGGUCUUUAUCCACAAAGAGGCCAAACCUGCAUUUUAUUUUUAAUGGAGAUGGAGAGAAUCUGUCCUUUCCUUCUGGAAGGAGAUGUGAACACCAUAUACAGUAGUGGGAAACAUUUCCUCCUUUGUACACAAGGGCUCAGAAAAUGAGCGAUGAGGUGGUGGACUGGAUGUGGUAAUAUGUCUAUGUUAGCUUCAAAUGGUUUAUAACAAUUCUAAAAAUGGGUUUUCAUUUUCUGUGUACUAAUCCAAUGAUGGAUCUUAUAGAUUAUUUAGGCAUAGAAUGUCUGAAUUUUGGAAAAAUAAAUUAGAUAAAAUAAAUUAGAGGAAGGAUAUAGAGUCCCAAUUUCUAAAGAGUUUUUUUUUAAGUCAUAGAACUCUUUCUUUGGAGACAAGUAUGCUCUGGAGUCCAAGGUGAAACCAACAAGUGCAGAGACGUCCAUCCUGCCCAGGCACUCAGCAGCCCUUCCCGAGGCUCUUCUUUUGCCCACACAGAACUGUCACGUGGUUGGGCACAGAGCACAUACCCAACUUCAUGAAGCACUUGCUGGGGACUGACUAUUCAGAGUUUCAGGAGGCUAACCAUUGAUGACAGCAUUUUAAGUCAUGGAUGAGUCACAACCUUUCUGUGAUAUUUGCUGAGAGCUUCUGGGUGAAGUACCCCAACAAAUAGAAAUACAGGUGUCCUUUAUUCCUUUGAUAUUGUGUGUGUGUGUAUGUGUGUGUGUGUGUGUGUGUGUGUGUGUGUGUGAGAGAGAGAGAGAGAGAGAGAGAGAGAGAGGGAGAGAGAAAGAAUGGAGGGAAGGAGGGAGAGAGGAGAAAAGGAGAAAUGUUGAUGCUGGUGAUCUAAAUAGGAGUUGCUCGUACUCCAUUGAAAGGAGAGGAGACCCUUAACAGUUUUUCAUUUUUUAAAGGAAGGCUACUCUCCACUUCCUUUGCUUUCUUUUGGGUUUGCAUCAUUUUUCAGUUGAAUUAACUUGGCACAUUCUCAACAAAUAAAAAUGUCCUCUUGAUUUGAGAUUAUAUAAUUGAUUAUAUAAUAACUCAUGAAGUGUUUGGGAAGUUAAAGUUAAGCGGCUGGCUUAAAUUUAGCUUGAGUUAUUAUUAAGUUUUCUACAAACCAAUUCUAAAAAGACACUUGAGGGACAACUUGAGAAAUUGUUAAGGUGGUGUGUAUGUGAAAUAUCACGCCAAUAUAUUUUCUAAUGUGUCCUUAAAUUUUUUUAAGGAAAUUAUUUUAAGGUUCUCUAAAAUUGGGCCGGAUGAUCCUGAAUCUCAUGCUUUCCUUUAACAGUGAAUUUGAGGUAAACAAUCUUUGCAUUCUGCUGUUUAUGUGGCUCUUUCCCUAAAAGCAAACACCUUUAAACCAUGAAAUAUUUGAGGUUGCUCUGACCAUUGAGCCUUAAAAAUGUUACUGAUCUUGUUCUCAAAGGCACUUUUGUGCUUUAUGUGCUGGUUUUCAAACACUGAAAAGGUACAUGUGGACUUUCAGAUUAUUCUGCACCCUAGGAUCUCCUGCUCAACAACUGAGAGCAGAAAAGAAUGCUCUUCAGAACAUUACGGCUCAUUAGGGUGCUGCCUAAAAAUCUCAUACAUGCCUGACAAAGUUAGUGGAAUGUCACGGCCUCUGCUGUGAUUAAAGUUUCUAAAUGUGUGUUGUCAAGCAGCUCAAAUAUUAGCUGUAAUCCACAUCCAUGCCGAGCUCUACGAUUAGGCCUUGUAGACAGAGAGCUAUAUGUACAGAAUAACUCUGGUUGCGUUAUAAAUUUUCCAGAUGAAUGGAAAGAAAACGGGGCAGGAAAUACACAUUAAGAAUGGGUGUCUCUGGGCUUUGAGAUUAUAGGUGAUUUUCGUUUUUUAGUAACUUUUCCAUUGCGUUUUAAAGUUUAUAACAAGGCAGACAAUUUUUUUUUUUCUGGUAUCAAAAGUUUUAUUUCUAAGAAGUGGAAUAGAUGCUGUAAUUACUGGCAGAGCCAACCUUGUGGUAAGGACAUGCUGAACACGGGUCCUGAAAAUGUGCCUUCCGACAACACUCAAUAGAAGACACCAUUGUCAGACGUGCAUAUCAACUAUGGGUUUAAUCAAGCCAUGGUGAUGAUCAAGAGGCAGCUCUAGGCAAGAAGGACCAAACAGCUAGAAAUGUAGUGACUUUAGACCAAUAGGGAAGAGAAGAGAAGGGGAAAGAUGUACUGUGUAAUAAACAUUUAGCAUCUGCAGGCUACUCCUGCAGCUACUCCUCCCUCCCACCACAGGAAGUUGGGCGUGGGCAGCUCCUGUCAGUCUCUUUCUCUUUAGUGUGUUCUUUGCCUUUACCCAAAACUCGGGACACUGAUAUCCAGGCAAACAGCAUUUUAUGUGGAAUACACACACAGUUUGGUCAGAGAGAGGUACAGAAGGAGAAUUUUCCUCCCUGGAGGAAGUUGACACAGAUGCGUCUCUACUCAGGGGAGUGCCUAGGGAAGGUGGCAGCACUUUGGGGGUGGACUAAUAAGGUUAAAAGAUGUGAUUUUGGCCUCUGGGAGAAGCAGAGUAGGGAGUGGCAAAGCUCAGAAGUGAAUUUUGUUCUUAGAAUUCUCCUGCCUUCUUUAUGUCCCCCUUCUGGGGCAGCUCCCUUCCCGGCCUCAUGCCGCUUUCUGGCGGUCAAAGUCCCUACAAUAAUACACCCUUGAAAUUCCUCACCCCCGCGGCCUCCUUUCCUUCAACUUCCUCUUCGUCCUUUUCUUGUUCCCAGUGCUUUGACUUCAUCGUCAUCAAAUGUAUCACAGAGCUCACAGUAUAUCAAGGGUCAAACGUGGAUAAGUUUGAGAGUCAUGCAUUUUGCCUCCUACGCGUAGCUAAUAAUUUGGAAUAAUUCAUAUUUGUUUGUUAUAGUUUAUAAUUAUUCCAAAUUAUUGAAAGUAACACUUUCUUGAACCGCGUCCGGGUGAGAGUCGGCCAGCAAGAUCGGUGAGGUUAGGCUGCAGCCAGCCCACUGCUAAUGCGCACGCGCGUCAAAGCAGGUGGCCUCGCGCAGGCAGAGAGCGCUGGGUGAGCAGCUGGACCGCUUCAGAAAGGACUCGGGCUGAAUCAGGUGCACCGCACGGGGUCCCAAGCCCUGGGGAAGAGGGGCUACACUUUUCCGCAGUUGAGAUUUAGACAUUACGCACGUGACUGAAGCCCGGGUCCCUAAAAGGAGCUGGACGGGGAGAGCCUUGGGAACCCUGGUAAAAGCCUAGAUGGGUGAGGAAGUCUGGCCGCGUGGCAGGAAGCGUUGCUCUGGCCUUGACCCGCCAUAGCCCCCCUCUCUCUUCUAGAGUGUCUGUGGAUUCCUAAGGGCGAGAGCUGUGGCCAAAGGAAGGCAUGUAUCACUGUGGAGAGUCCUCGUCAAAGUAAUGGUCAGAAACAGGGGCACCAGGGUGGCUCAGUGAGUUAAGUGUCCCACUUCGGCUCAGGUCAUGAUCUCCCGGUCUGUCAGUCCCAAGUCGGACUCUGUGCUGACAACUUUCGAUUCUGUAUCUCCCCCUCUCUCUGCCCCUCCUCGGCUCACGCUCUGUCUCUCUCUCUCUCAAAAAUAAACAAAAAAAAAAUUUUUUUUUUUAAAAAGUAAUGGUCAGAAACAGGUGUGUGUGUGUGUGGGGGGGGUGGUGGUCUGGCAGAGGUUGGGGGCUCACAGCAGCCACCUGUGAGCAGGAAACACCAGCCAGAGCAGAAGUCUUCAUCUGUAAAAUGGGAAUAAAACCAGGACCAGCUUCAUUGGGGUUGUUGUGAAAACGAAAUGAUCAUACAGCAUUUAGCACAUGCCUGCACAAAUUGAGUAACAAUCAGCGUCCAGUAAGUGUUGCCUAUUUUUAUCUUCAUCGUUGUUUCUGGGAGAUCCCUUCUCCUUACUUAUUUUCAAGUGGUUAUGUAAGUUGAUUUUAUGUGAUCCAAUGUAAUGAAUUUUGGCUGUGUUUUUGUUUUUAAGCAGAGAAAUUGCUUCCCAGGAUGUAUUAGAAAAAGGUUAGAUUAAACCUUAGGCUGAUUGAACUUGAGCAAAGUUUUAAAAAUAAUUGUGGCAUCUCCAAGUUGAAUUUUUACCGAAUAAAAAAACCGGCAGCAAUGUCAUUUUUUGCUCCAGGAAGAUCGUGAGAAUAACUAAUAACACUUGGUGGAGGUUAAUAUAGUAUUGAAAGUAGUAAUUUUAACAAUUUUGAACUCAUUUUCAAAGACAUAAUUGGAAUAAUUUUCAGUAGACAUCAGUCUUUGUUUGGGAGGAAAUUACAGUGAUUAAAUUAACUGCAGGCAGCCUCUCAUUGUUAUUUGAAGAUAAUAGUCUGUUGAGGAUUGGUGGAAAAAAAUGAAUGAUACAUGUUCUAUUAAAGACUGUAUAGCUGAAGAAAUUUUCAUCACUCGUUCUGUCUGGCUACAAUUUAUGUACUGAAGCCAUAAUUGUCAGAUGCAACUUCCUUUACUGUAUUUGGCCUAGAACACUAAUCCAAAUGAAGAAUGAGAAUAAUGCUUUUCCUAGGAUUAAAAUAUAGAUUUUUCUUUUAAGGAGAUGAAUAAUAUGCCAGUUCACAAGAAAAUAAUAUGCUUGCAGAACUCUGUACAAGUUGAAAAAAAAAAAGAGAUUUAUUCCUUCGUUAAGUAUUUUCAGGUUUCUGUCUCUGCUUCCAUAUGAAAUUGAACACUGGACAAAGACAGUAAUAUCACAACCACUAUUUAGGCAUUUGAAAUUACUCUUUUACUUUGGAAUGAGGCAUUCAGAUCACUGAGUGCUGAUAAAUUGUCCCUGGAUGAAAGAGUAAGUGGACCUUGAUCUGUCGUCUCAGCUUCAGGCUCCUUGGAGGUGGCAAAGUGGCUUUCAUCAGUGGAAGAUGUCGCCCAGCUUCCUCAAGGUCUUUCCAAUCUCCGUAUGAUUUAGAUAGUAUGUCUGAGGGUAAAUACCACCCAGAUAGACCUGGUGGUCUGAGUGUAAUACCACCCAGGCACCUUCCCUGGACAUGAGUGAUACUGCUUUUUAAAUUUCGGUAUUACUAUAAAAGUUGUCUGGCUUUUACUCCCAUGACAACCCGUGACUCAGAAGAAAACCUGUUUGUGUUCUUUCUGGCUGGAAUGUCUACUUAAGGAUCUAUGCAUUGGUUGUGAAUCAAAUUACAUAUACUGAUAACCAAAACUUUUCUUAAUUUGAUCCUAAACUAAACAAUAUUGGGACUGUGUGGUCCAAAAGUAAAAGGAAAAUUAAAAAGUAAUUAAUUUCAUAUGCUUAGAAGUUCUUGUCCCAAUACUGAUUACUAUGCUAUGAGACAAUGCUGUUUUCAUGUGUUGGGAAGCAGAAGGAAUUGACAAAAAGUAAAUAAAUAAAGUCUUGCCCUGGGGAGAAAAGAAGAGCUGGUGAAUUACCAGUUGCACCAAACGCAGACAUAAAAGUGAACAAAAGCCAAUUACUUGGCAUUCAAUACAGCUAACAUUCAUCUCCUUUUAUAUUGUUUCUGACUUGAUUAUUGUAAUUUCAAAUCACAAUAGUUAGAAAAUGUUUUGAUAAGGCAUAAUAUUACAUUGCCUUGUAAUUUAACAUAGUAGAACUGUAAGGUACAAAGUUAGGACAAUGGCGAAUGCAGGUUGUAAAAGAGAAAAAUUGUCUAGAUUUAUUUGGUAUGAAAGCACAGGGCUUCUUACUGAGGAUGAGAUUUACAGUAUGACUAUGCUUAAAUUUUGGCCACAGAUAUAGUCUUCGUAGUUCUAUAAACUUGGAUACAUUUUCAUUCAAACAGAAAAGGUGAUUAAAAAUACCUACCUAGUGGAGUUGUGCAAAUUGAGUAAAUGAAUCCAUGUCAAAGCGUUUUGUAAAUUGCAAACUGUGACACUAAUUUACUUUGCAGGAGACAAUCAUGAAGUGUUAUUGAUUGAAAGAAAAUAUUAAUCCAACCUAUUUUGUACUUUUUCUAAUGUAUAAAAAGAAGAAAAGCAUUCCAACUUCACAUGUGUGCCUCUGCUAAAAUUGUCACCUGAAUGUAAUUGUGAGGAGACAAUUAGAUAAACUUAAUUUGAGGGACAUUACACAAAAAAUAACUGGUGUGGACUCUACAAAAGUGUCAAUUGUCAAAGACAAAGGAAAUAUAUACAUAUGACAAUAUAUACAAUAGUGAUCCUUGAUUGAAUCCUGGAUUUAAAAUAAAAUAUAAUAAAUACCCAGACUGAGACAAUUGGGAAAAUAUGAACUGCAUAUUAGAUAAUAAUAUCACAUCAAACUUCCUGUGUGUUUAUUAUUUUGUAAUUAUGGUGUAGGAUAUUUGUUCUUAGGAGGUACAUACUAAAGUUGUGCUUUUUAGUUUUUAUUUAAAUUCCAGUUAGUUAAUGGGGCGCCUGGGUGGCUCAGUCAGUUAAGCGUCUGACUUGGGCUCAGGUCAUGAUCUCGUGGUUCAUGAGUUCAAGCCCCGCGUCAGGCUCUGGGCUGAUGGCUCAGAGCCUGGAGCCUGUUUCAGAUUCUGUGUCUCCCUCUCUCUCUGACCCUCCCCCGUUCAUGGUCUGUCUCUCUCUGUCUCAAAAAUAAAUACACAUUAAAAAAAAAUUAAAAAAAAAU